UCAAUAAUAAAAUCAUUUGUCGUCCACUUACCGUAACGAGAUUUAUAAAAACAACCUAUAGAGACAAUAACAUAGCACUUAUCAUGAUUUCAUAUGCAAUCGGUAACAUGCACCCAUUAUAAAUCCACAUUCAAUAAAUCAAACAACAACUAUCCCUUUCCAUCAGGCUGCUGGUAUCCAUAGAGGUUCAUAGGGAUGUCUCCACUACGCAUGAACCAUUUCCUUUAACAUUCUCAAUUAAUAGACCGUCCUCAUAUCCCAUCCGGUAUGAGCACCAAGUUACUAAACCUCAAUGCUCCGUUUGGUAUUAAGGUGAAACGGGCUGUCCCCAUAUCCCGUCUAAUAUGAGCACCAAAUUAUCAAGUCUCGAUACCCCGUCCGGUAUGAGACAACGUUCACAGUAGGGUUCCUUAUUGUACCGGGUUCAUCCACCAUCUCCUAGGAUAUCCAGUAAGGCUGUCGUUUCAUCUAUUCACUUAAUCACACAAUUUUCUGUUUUUUUUAGUCU
rnacentral:lncRNA from 1 species